rnacentral:rRNA from 1 species
GUCUACAGCUGUGCCACCCUGAACAAGCCCGAUGUCCAAUCUUGAAAGCUAAGCAGUGUCAGGCCUGGUUAGUACUUGGAUGGGAGACCACCUAAGAAGACCAGGUGCUGUAGGCA